UACAGAGGAUGCAAGCGUUAUCCGGAAUGAUUGGGCGUAAAGCGUUUGUAGGUGGUUUAUUAAGUCUUCUGUCAAAGCUCAGGGCUUAACCCUGUUUAGGCAGUAGAAACUAAUAGGCUAGAGUACGGUAGGGGCAGAGGGAAUUCCCGGUGUAGCGGUGAAAUGCGCAGAUAUCGGGAAGAACACCGAUGGCGAAAGCACUCUGCUGGGCCGAAACUGACACUGAGAGACGAAAGCUAGGGGAGCGAAUGGGAUUAGAUACCCGGUAGUCC
rnacentral:rRNA from 1 species